UUGAAACGCUUUUCAAAAGUCAGUAUUUCACUAUUUUCUUUGACUGACUUCAGGAGUAGAAGAAACCAAGCCUAAAACUUGGAACAAAACAGUCAAGUGUCAACCACAAAAUGGAUCAGUCUCGAAUGCUGAAGGAUGAAUUUGCUUUUAGUUAUAUCAAUGUUUGCACUUUGGUUUGGUGUUGAUUAUAUAACCCCCACCUACGUUAGCCCACCACAAAAUGGGGGAGAAUACCAUUUGCUAUAUAACAGAUGGAGUUGGAGAAAGCAAAGAAAAGAGAUUACCCAAAAUGACAUGAGUGAAUGAGACCAUGGUUUGGUGCCCAAUUUUAAGGGAUUUUUCUAUUUUCUCUUGUGUGUAAUAUUGUCAAAGUGUCAAUAUGCUUUAUCUUGAUAUAUAUAUCUAUUAUGUGUAUCUCCUAGCUCUGAUUAGAGAA